AUACGGAGGGUGCAAGCGUUACUCGGAAUCACUGAGCGUAAAGCGCGCGCAGGCGGCUUGAUAAGUUGGAUGUGAAAGCCUACGGCUCAACCGUAGAACUGCAUCCAAAACUGUCAGGCUAGAGUGUGGGAGAGGAAGAUGGAAUUAGUUGUGUAGGGGUAAAAUCCGUAGAGAUAACUAGGAAUACCAAAAGCGAAGGCAAUCUUCUGGAACACUACUGACGCUGAGGCGCGAAGGCGUGGGGAGCAAACAGGAUUAGAUACCCUAGUAGUCC
rnacentral:rRNA from 1 species